CUUUUUUAUAAAACAAUCCUCUCAAAUUUUAAAAUUUGCGAAAAAACCCACUCAAAAUUUUAUUUGUAGAACUAAUCCUCUUUUCGCCACGUCGGCGCCACGUCAUAAUUUCUUUUAAAGACGGUGAAUCAUUCACCCUGUUUUCCCAAUUCUUUUAAAGACGGUGAAUCGUUCACCGCGUUCUCCCAUUUCUUUUAAAGGCGGUGAAUCAUUCACCGUUUUCUCCCAUAAUUUAUUUACUGUUAUUUUCUAUAUUCUAUAUAUAAUCCUAACAACCACAUAAAAAUUCUAACAAAUUACAUAUAAUCUUAACAACCUUUAAAUCCUAAUAAUUUAUCUAUAUAAUUUCAUAUAAUCUUAACUGCCUUUAUAUGAAAUUAUAUGGAUAAAUUAUUAGGAUUUAAAAGUUGUUAAGAUUAUACGGGAUAUAGAAAGAAACAGUAAAUAAGUGAAAGGCGGUGAAUGAUUUAUCGUUUUUAAAAGAAAUGGGAGAAAGCGGUGAACGAUUCAUCGUCUUUAAAAGAAAUAAAAGAGAACGGCGAACGAUUCACCGUCUUUGUAAGAAAAUCCUGACGUGGCGCCUAUGUGGCGAAAGGAGGGUUAAUUUUACAAAUAAAAUUUUUACAUGAUUAUUUUGCCAAUUAUAAUUUUUUAGAGGGUCAUUUUAUAAAAAAGUCCUGUGUACACACAUCCAAACGAGGCGGAUCCGGGGUGAGAGAGGUCCCUAGAUCCGCUCCAUUUCUUUACGGAUUGCGACAGAAGUAAAUUUUUGACGAAUCGAGACAGAUUAAAAAGAUAAAAAGGGCUUAUUGCCUCCCGCUUUAUUUACUCGGUGGAUUAGGCUAGAUUUGGACCGAAUUAUAUUUUCCUAAUAUUUUUAGUUCACACUUAUUACUUUAUUUGGGAUGAAUCAUAGCAGAAGCUCCUACGAGAGAGUUGCUUUAAGCGCAGGAAUGUAAACGACCUUGAUCGGUGGAGAUCACGUUUCAGUCCAUUCUAAACGGGGUGAUAAGUGAGAACUAAAAAUAAAAAAUAAAAAAAAAAAUCUUGAACCAGUAGGAAAUGAAGUGAGAAGCAGAAACCCUUUAUCUCCAUUGAUUUAUCUUAUCUUGAUUCGUUAAAAAAUCGUCAAAAAUCAAUUCCAAAUGCAAUACGUCAGAGUAAAAAUAAAAUAUAAUAUAAUUUAUCUUGAAUCCGCUUAUAUCCAGGGCCCCUCUGGACCCACCCCAUUUGCUUCUCUGUUUAGUAAUAGGAUGAGUACUUUUUGGGUUUGACUUUUUUUAGUCUAAAUCCAGGGACUAAUUAAGUUUAUAAUAAUAAUAAUAAUAAUUAGUUUAUUAAAAUUUUAGGUUUUUUUUCAAAUAGCCCCCUGAUAAAUUUUAUUUGCAAAAAUAGUCCCAUCCAAAAAUUAUUUACAAAAAUGGCUCUGCCCCUGCCACGCCAGCGCCACGUCAGCGCCACGCGGGCAGGGCGGGCCCAGAUGUUUAAGUUGAACACGGUGAAUCAUUCACCGUGUUCAAUACAAGAUUUUUGUAUUGGACACGGUGAAUGGUUCACCGUGUCCAAUACAAAUAUCCCAACAAUGGCUAAGUUGGAGGUAUUUGUAUUAGACACGGUGAUUCAUUCACCGUGUCCAAUUAUUUGUAUUGGACACGGUGAAUGGUUCACCGUGUCCAAUACAAAUAUUUCGAUCUUAGCUAUUUCAUUCACCGUGUCCAAUAUAAAAACUUUGUAUUGAACACGGUGAAUGAUUCACCGUGUUCAACUUAACCAUCUGGCCCAGCUCCGUCCGCGUGGCGCUGACGUGGCGCUUGCGUGGCGGGGUCAGGGUCAUUUUUGUAAAUAAAUUUUUGACAGGGCUAAAUUUUAAAAAAAAAAAUUGUAAAGGGGCUAUUUGCAAAAAAAGCCCUAAAAUUUUAGUUGGACGGUCCCAUUGCCCAGUGUGAGUCCAUCCAGUCCACCGUUCACACAGUUUUGAGAUUCGCACUGCUAUUGUGAUGGAUGGUGGAUUGGAUCAUCUCAUGAUGGUGACAUAUUUUCACCAAAUUUUCUAUAUUUCUAAAAUAUUCAUAAACUUAACUUUAGAAUUUGUUAUUAAUUACAAAUACAUUAAUAAUAUAUUAAUAUUAAUAUUAAAGGUGAUUUUAUUAAAGAGGUAAAGCCUAAAGCAGUAUCUUUUCUUAAAAAAAAUGAUUAAAAUUCAUAUGAACUGUGCUGGCAUUAAUUAUACAUAAAAUUUUGAAUUAUAUAGAUUUUCUUUAUAUAUUAUAAGCAAAGUAUAACAACAAUAGUUUGGAUUAUCUAAUUAAAUAUAAGUUAUAUAGAGAUAUAUUUGACUAAACUAAUAAUUAGAAGAUCAUUUAAGCGUGGCAAAAGAUGUAGGGAGAAAGUGUGCGGCGAAUCACACGCAAGAGAUCCGAAAGAGUAGUGUGGAAUGAUUCAGCCACAAUAAAUUAUUAUUUAGAAAAAAUAAUAAUUUAUUGUGGAUUCCUAUAUUUUAUUCCGACAUGAUUUUGAUUGAAUAUAACAAUUAAAAAUAGAAAAAAAAAUUAAAUAGUAGCACUGUAGUUUUGUACUUUUUCACUUUCUUUUUCUGUAGUUUAGAGAGUAUCACUUUCGUAUUAUGUAGUUUUAUUUUUUUCUUUUUGUUAUUUCAUCCACUAAUUUUUUUCAUUAAAUCAGUGAUAAAGUUUAAACUAAAGAAUACUAAAGUAAAUAUUUGAUAAACAAUAGGCGAGGUAUUUGAAGUUUUUUUUUAUAUGAUUUAACGAAAAGUUAAUGGAGGGAUUGAGAAAAAAAAAAUUUGAAAACACAGGGUACUAAAUUUAUACACUUUAAAGCACAAGGUAUUAAAGUGAAAAAGUACGAAACUAUAUAAGUGGUAUUUGAAGUUUAUCCUUAAAAAUAUUGUGUUUUCAAAUUUUUUUUUUCUCAAUCCCUCCAUUAACUUUUCGUUAAAUCAUAUAAAANAUAUAAGUGGUAUUUGAAGUUUAUCCUUAAAAAUAUUGUGUUUUGAUACUAAGUAUAUAAAAUAAUUGUUAUUCUUAAAAAAAAUUAACUCUUAGAAAAAAAAAAAAAGAUUUUCAAGUCCGAGUCUCAUCGAAUUUAUAACGCUAUUUAAUUUCUUCCAACUUAAUUUAAGUCUGUAAAUAUUUUGUACCUAUCAAAAAUUUCGAAUUCAGAUGUGAAAAAUAAUAUUAAAUAAUAAAAGAAAUAUUAUUCUCUGCUAAUCUAAAGAUUUGAAGAACAAUUAUUAUUUUACAUAAUUUAACGAAAUGGCGUAAAUUCGACAAUAAUUCGCAUCAGAUAGUUGUUAUUUUUGUCAUGAAAACAAAUUAAGACCCAAAAUAAAAUCUACGUACCAUCGGUACUGGUCACCUCUCUAACAAGGGCAAAAAAAAAAUUCUUUACAAUGAGGGUAUUUUGGUAAAUUUCUAUUCUUAUAACAUAUCAUUUUUGUAAAAUAUUCCAUUCACUCCGAUGGAAAGUUUUCACCCGGGCCACAAUCAUCUUCUCCGAAGUUAUUUUUUCUUUUUCUUUUUUUCAUUCACUCUGAUGGAAACUUUUCACCCAGGCCACAAUAAUUAAUUUAAAGUUAAUUUUCAAACAUAGAAUCAUUCAGUUUAAAUAGUUAACAAAUUUUAUUUUUUUAACUAUAACAUAAACUAAAUCUAAAUUUAAAAUUUAAUUUUAAUCAAUAUUUUUGAACUUUAAUGUUGUUUUUACUAUCGAAUGAACAAUUUGAAUUUAAUUUUAAAUAUAGAAGCCUUUAAUUUAAAUAAAAAAUAAAAUUUAUGUUUAUAAAUACAACAUAAUUUACAAUUUAAAAUAAGUUAAUAGCAUUGAAAUUUCGUGUCAUUUUAAUAUCAAAUUAACAAUUCAAAUUGAAAUAUACUAUUCAUUUAAACAUAAAUUUUUUCAUUCUGAAAAUCAAAAGUAAAAUUAAAUUUGAAUUUAAUGUACACAAUUAUAAAGUUUAAGCUCAAAUUGAUUUUUAAAUUCAAUUUUAUAAAAAUUUAUUACUUAUCAAAUUAGCACUAUCUAAUUUGGUAAGUAACAAAAUUAAACUAGGAAACAAAUAUUUGUGUUGGGUUGAUCAAAUUUGGUAAUUGGCUUGUAUUUCUUUUCCCAUAUUACCUUUACGAAUGGUAACCUGUUGAGCAGAUAACUACUAAGCAAAAGACAAUCUCGCCCUUAAGUUUUGAACGGCUAGAUUUAAUUUAUUUGGUGUAUUGAAGCAUUCCUCAAUUAAAAUAUACAUACAAAUAAAAUUUUCAAAACUACAACAAUUAUAUUGGAGUUGACUUAACUAUCAUAUAUUUAUUAUACGUAACGUAAUCCCUUUAAAAUUCUAUGUAGAGUUUUAGACUCUUUGAACAUGAAGAUUCCUACAAAAGAGUCGGCCAUUUAUACGUAAGUAUCUCCGAGAGAGGAAUAUUUAGAAACGUUCCAAAGAAAUAAGGCUAAAUUAAGAUCAUAGUGGGACCUUUUUAGUAGAUACCUAUCCUAUUAUACUUUAAGCUUAUUUACACAAAUAAUCAAUGUAAUAAAAAACCAUUUUAACACUAAAUCGAAAGGAAAACAAAGACAAAAUGAAAACUAAAGAAACAGAAAAGAAAAGUAUGGAAUCAGCUCUCUCUCUGUGUGAAUAGAUUUAAAUCACAAUUGAUGUGGAUGUGUCGAAAGCGAAGUUUCAAUUGUGGAUGUAUCGAAAGCGAUUUUUUCUAUAAUUUUAUAUGGGCGUAACUUGUACAACGAGCUGAUGGUUUCCUACUUAUCGGAUUUAUUUUCUGCGAUUCAGGGACGACAAAAAUCAAAUUUUGGAUAGUGAAAAAAAAAAAAAAAAAACUGAAAGGGAGAGAGAGAGAAGUCGACAGUGGACCUCUCUCAUGUGGUCCACAAGGUGGAACGGACCUCGUGGACCGCGUGCUUUUGUUCCCUAAUGCGGCGUGCGCAAUGCUGCAUGUUUUUUUUCUUUUUCGCUCAAAGAGAGCGAAAAACGAAAACCCUCUUUUUUCUUACAAUCUAUAAAAAAAAAUUUCGAAAAUUUUUUUUUUUACAAGCAAUCAAAUAUCAAAACCUUACAUUCAACUGGAAAAAAAAAAAAAAAAAUACGAGGAACUAAACACACCCUUACUGAAUUUCACUAGAUUCGAUAUGAAUUAUUUUAUUUUGUGUUUAGAAAAAAAUAAUUAUUUGUUAAUAUAUACGACUUCUCUGCGUGGGGGAAAAAAGUAAUCAAUAAAUUCUAGAAUAAGCGCUCCAUAAUAAUAAUAAUAAUAAUAAUAAUAAAGACUUUUCUUGUAAUUUUUUUUUUUCCAUGGAGGAAGAUUGUGACAUUAUCAGCAAUUCAGUAUUUACUUAAUUCAACAAAUCAGGCCUGCAGAAUCUUCUAAUAAGAUUGAUGUAUAUUUCGCGCAGUCUCAAUCCUACAGCUAGCAUGAUAAAACAUAGAAAAGACACUUCGAUAAUCUAAUAUCUGUAAAAUGAUCAAUUAUUUUAAAAAUUUUAAGCUGUUAGCUAAUAAUGUUUAGUCGUCACAUAUAUGACAUCUAGUAUGUAUAAAUAGUUACUAGCAUAGUAACCCGCGGGAUACGACGGAUAGAUAAUUGAAAAAUAAACGGUGAUGAAAAAAACAAAAAACAGUUGAAGAAAGAUGAAAAGGAAGGACUUGAGCUGGUUCGGAAUAGAUCCGUAUUCAAUAAUAAAGAAAAAAUUGUCAUGCGGCAACUUUAGAAAAAAUAAUGUAUAGAAAUAUAGAUAUAAAUGUAGAUGACAACUAAAUUGACACGAAUAAAAUAAAAUCUAAAUUAAAUAUGGAGAAAUGGCACCAUACAAUUCUGUUUAUGAUGAUAUGGUGUAGUGUAUGUAACUGUUAGUAUAUUCUGAGACAUUAACCAAUCAAUGUAAGUGCAUGGCAUUUAUUAAUGGAUCUGUUACUUUAAUAUUGCUCAGCUACAUCAUGUGAUGGACCACUCAACUGCAAUAAAUGCAAACUUCUUUUUCUCUUCUAAAAGUGUGAACUCUACCUUUAAGAUUAGUGUGAAGAAUAAAACUGAUAAGAGCUGUCAUGAAAAUGACAGGUGCUUCAGCAAUUUGAAAUUUCAAUUCCAUUUAAAUAAUCUGACACUACAACAUAAUUGAAUUAUAGAGACACAUCUUUCAAAUACUUUUAUAUAAAUAUUUUAUUUAUGUCAAUUUUUUUAAAAAAAAUCUAAUAAUGUCUAAAUAUAAAGUCCAAUCCAAAUAAAAAUAAAAAGUUUCUCUAUUCCACCAACCACACCCAGCUCACUCGGCCCAAUUACAAAUAAAAAAGAAAAAAUAAAAAAAAAAUUGAUCACCAUCUCUCCUUCUCCUCCUCCGCCACCGUAGCCGACGAGGGAGGAUUUCGACAGUUGGAGUUCGGCCGCGAGGAUUUCGUAGGGACCGUAGAGAGCCACGAUCACCACGUAUUCCUCCGCCACAGGUCGCUAAAAGAAUGGGUGCCAAAUAUUAAAGCGGCACUACCUAUAGCGACUUCACAUAUAACAACACUUUUAAAAAGUGUCGGUAAUUUAGAGAUUUUUCUUGUAUUUUUUUUUUAUUGUGACAUUAUCA
rnacentral:lncRNA from 1 species